rnacentral:rRNA from 1 species
GAUGAACGCUGACAGAAUGCUUAACACAUGCAAGUCGAUGGGGAAGUGGUGCUUGCACCAUGGUAACCAUGGCGGACGGGUGAGUAACGCGUAAGGAACUUACCUGCGGGACCGGGAUAACAGCAGGAAACUGCUGACAAGACCGGAUAAGGUCAUUAAGCUGCAUAGCUUAGUGAUGAAAGGAGACGCCUGCGGAGAGCCUUGCGUCCUAUUAGCUAGUUGGAGGGGUAACGGCCCACCAAGGCGAAGAUAGGUAGCCGGCCUGAGAGGGUGGACGGCCACAAGGGGACUGAGAUACGGCUCUUACUCCUACGGGAGGCAGCAGUGGGGAAUAUUGGACAAUGGGGGCAACCCUGAUCCAGCAAUUCUGUGUGCACGAAGACGGUUUUCGGAGUGUAAAGUGCUUUCAGCAGGGAAGAAGGAAGUGACGGUACCUGCAGAAGAAGCGACGGCUAAAUACGUG